rnacentral:miRNA from 1 species
UGAUGUGAUUUUAAGUUU